rnacentral:lncRNA from 1 species
AAUAACACUAAAAUUUAAAUAUAUCAUAAAAUGAAACUAUUAAUAAUAAAAAAUUAUCCAUAAAGCAAAUGUUCUACCCCAUGAGUGCAUUAGUUUAGUACAUUUCAAAAGAGUAAAUAAGUUUCAAAAAUAUUGGUAACAAAAGAUUCCUAGAACAUUCAUCUAUAACAAUACAAAAUUCAUUUCAAGUAAGGUCUAGUUCUUCAUCGUCUUCAUCAUCCAUUUCUUGAUCUACUCCACCUACAAAAGAGGAUAAAUAAAGUUAUUACCCUUCAACAGAAUCCGGUCUAAGAAUACUCAAGCAUUUAACUGUUUUCGUUCUUCUUUUAUUAAUCCAACUUAUUCAUCUCAACAAACUAUACGCAACAUUAUAACAAUAUGAUAUUAUUACCAAAGACCAAGACUUUCAAACUAUCAAGCUAUGAUGGCAAAGUAAAGAAUAAUUCAUAAGAAGAAUCACAAACAUAAUUACAAAACCAGCACAAAACAUCAACUAUUUAAACCGUUCUUUCAGAUGAUCAAUGACCAUUAUAUUGCCUCUCAGUAAGUACAUUAGAGUGAUAAACAUUUAGGUGAUACAUUGCCUAUGGCACCAAUUCCUUUAACUCAGGAUGUGCAGCAAUUAACGAGCGAUCUACUCCCUCGAGAGUAGUGAAUACUCGUGCUUGUUCCAGAGCCUCAUUGUUACCAGCAUGUGAUACUAGGUAGAAGAGGAGAAUCAAUCUAUUCAAUUUUGAUUGUUCAUUUCCUCUCAACAGUCUUAUCACAGGAGGAACACCUCUGAAUUCGAUAAUUGUUUUUGAGUGCUCCAUACCCAAGAAAUUCUAAGGACAAGUAAACUUCCCAAGUGAGGCAGCAGCUUCUGCUGCCAUGUCUAGGUUCCUAUUACUAAGUUGCUCGACUUUUCCAUUUGUUCAUCUCCAGUAUUAAACAAAGCAUAUCGAUGUGUUUCAAAUCAUAACUGCGAAUCCAUGAGAAAAGUAUUUUUUUUCUUACUUCCAAUUGGAUGGCCUAUAUUAGGGAAUAUAGUUGACAGAUUUUGAGAGCACUCAUCAUCCACAGUUUGGUACCUACUAAAAUUUGUCUUAACGCCAUCAUGUAGAUAUCUCGAUCAAAAAGUCAAGCACUCAUCGGCCACAAACCCCUCUGCUAUUGACGCUUCUGGACAAGAUCGAUUACGUACAAAUUCCUUGUACUUACAUAGGUUCCUCUCAAUGGAAUACAUCCAACGGAGAUGAGCCGGACCCCCAAGUUUAAUUUCAUUCAUCAAAUGAAUAGGCAAAUGUGGCAUUAUGUCAAAAAAUGUUGGAUGGAAAAUCUUUUCAAGCUCGCAUAUUAUUUCAACAAUUUCCGACUGCAUUGUUUCAAGAUCUCUUCGCCUUAUGACCUUACUACAUAUAGCUCUAAAAAAAAUUCUCAACCUAAUCAAGGCCAAUGAAACAUGUUUGGGCAACACUUUUCUAACAGCAACUUGGAGCAAGUAAUGCAUUAUAAAAUGAGCGUCAUGACUCUUGUACCCUGAUAUUUUCAUCUCCUUCACUUGCACGCAUUCUGAAAUAUUGGAAGCACACCCUUUGGUAAUUUAGCAUUUUUUAUGACAAUACAAAAUAAAUUUUUCUGUUUUGGUUCCAUGUAGAAACAAGAUUUAGCCACACUUAUAGUUCCAUCACUAUUUAUUCUUGGUUGUAGCUCCUUUCGUAUCCCCAUUUCUUGUAAGUCAUAGCGAGAUUUUUCAUGAUCCUUUGAUUUUCCAUGUAUUUCUAAUAAAGUCCCAAGCAAACUAUCACAUAUGUUUUUCUCGAUGUGCAUCCAAUCAAGAUUGUGCCUCAAUUUGUUAUGCACCCAAUAUGGCAAUUCAAAAAAAAUGGUUCUCUUUUUCCACGGACCCUCAUCACUCCGAGGCCUUUUUUUAGGGCUCUUUCCAAAGAUAUUGUUGAAUUCAAGCAGCUCUUCAAAGACUUCUUCACCCGACAAGGGAGCAGGUCUAUGUUCCUCCUUACCAUCAAAAGACUUCUUAUCUCUUUGGAAUGGAUGAUCACGAGGCAAAAAUCUUCGAUGGCCCAAGUAACACAUCUUGUGACUAUGUUUGAGAUAUUGAGAACAUGUGUCAUAAUUGCAAGUGGGGCAUACUAAUCUCCCCUUAGUGAUCCAUCUUGAAAGCAUUGCUAAUGCUGGAAAGUCACUAACUGUCCACAAUAAGGCAGCACACAUUCGGAAAGAUUGGUUGGUUUCAGCAUCAAAUAUGUCUAUCCCAGUUUCUCAUAGCUCCUUCAAUUCUUCAAUUAAUGGACGAAGGUACACAUCGAUAUCAUUUCCAGGAGAUGAUGGACCAGGAAUGAUCAUAGACAAUAUUAUAUACUCCGGCUUCAUGCACAUCCACAGUGAUAAAUUAUAGUUCAUUAACAUAACAGGCCACGUGCUAUGAGAAAUGCUCAUGGUCCGAAACGAGUUGAAACCAUCACUUGAGAGACCCAAUCUAACAUUCCGAGGGUCUCUAGAGAAGUCUGGAUGCAAAGAAUCAAAAGCCUUCCAAGCUUCCCAUCAGCAGGAUGCUUAUAUUCCCAUCACUGGGUCGCUCAUUAUCAUGUCAUCUCAUUGCAGCAGCUGUUUCAGGACACAUGAAUAUCCUCUGAAGCCUAUGCUUUAAAGAAAAAUACCUUAAAACCUUUGUAGGGAUUUUAGAGCUUGCUUUAGUCAAAGGACCGACACUCUUCCAUCUUGAAGACCCACAAAUAGAGCAAUUAUCCAUAUUCGUAUUUUCUUUCCAAAAUAACAUGCAAUCAUUAGGGCAUGCAUGUAUUUUUUCAUAAUGAAGACCCAAAUCUUUUAUCAUGUUUCUAGCUUUGUUGAAAGAUUUCGGUACCUGAGCAAAUGGAAAUGCCUCUUUUAUCAACUCUAACAAAUCAGAGAAAGCCACAUUACUCAACCCAUGCAAUGAUUUAAGCAAGUACAAUCGAAUAGUGAAACUCAGUUUGCUAAAAUUUUCACACCCCGGAUAUAACUCUUGUUUUCCUUCCUCCAGCAAUUUGAAAAACUUCUUUGCAUCUUCAGAUAGUCUUUCCCCAGCUUCUUCUUCAUCCCUUCCUGACCCUCUAUAUUUCUAAAUGUAUCAUGAAGUAGUCCAUCAAUAUCGUCACGCAAGGUAGAACCUUCAUCAUCAUUGCUUGGAUGAGGUGUAUUUCUCGAGAAAAAUCCUUCCCCAUGAAAAACCCAUUUGGUAUAACCCUCAACAAACUCAUGAACAACCAAAUGAUCCUCCACCACAUUUCUAUAAUAUCAAUAGCGAUUCAUGCACUUUUUGCAAGGGCAUAAUAUUUCAUUCCUUGGGCGGCUCGUUCAAAUGACUUAUCAAGAAAAUCAUUCACUCCACGGAUAUACUCAUCCAUCCAUCUCAGGAGAUUCAUCCAACUUUUAUCACCAUUAUCCAUAGAUAUCCUAUACGAUAAAAGUAAAUCAACAAAACUAAUCAAAUAAACCAAAAGCAUACUAAUUUAACAUUGACCACUACUUUUAAGGCAAGACCCUCUACACUAUAACAAGCACGUGAGCAUCUGAAGACAACAAAUUGUUAAUGUUUGAUGGAACUAAGGACUUGACUACAUAAUUGCAUGCAUGCUUUCCAUUUCCAAAGAGUUGAGCACCUAUGCCCGUGAAAUUGUUACACUUUUGUAUUAAUAGAAGCAUAAAUCCAAUGAAAGACCAAGUUAAACAAAAGACAACAUAGUCUCAUCACAACCCAUCAGAAUAAUAUAAUAUAUACGGUAGGAGAAUAAUAAUUUACUAAAAAAAAGAAUAUGUCACCAAAGUCCAGAUUCUUAACAUGAGUUCUGCUAAAAUCACGAGUAACAAGUAUUCUCUAAGAUUCAAACCCUUGAAUUUUGGCAAUUAUGAAGAACUUUAUAUGCGUAAAAGCUAUAUUGGUUCAUCACAACUUACUGUAAUAGCUCUUGCAAUGUUGUUAACCACGACAUUUCUUUCAUGGACAACUAUUCUAGGAUAUUAUUUACCUUUUCCAUAGUUAUAUUAAAGGGCUAAAGAGAAUAAAAGAAUUUUAGAUUUAAGACCAGAUAAACUUCAAACAUGUUAAAGAUUUUCCUCUAUUAGAGUUUUUCUGGGGUAUGGGCAAUUAAAGCAGUUAAGAGAGAAAUUUCACCACCAUAUAUUAGUGCAGUUAUGAUAGAUAAAUCACGUGCUUGAUUCAAGCUUCAUAUAAGAUGUAAUAUAAAGCACUCAUAUACAAAAUUUUAUGAUCUUUUGCACGGGCGUGAAAUUAUUCGUCAGUUAAUUGCUUACCAACAAGCUGCUUGCAUGUAGCUCGCCAAUAAACAUAUACCAUAAUGGCUUUUAAAGCAUAUACUUACAUAAUUGAUAAGGUAAGAAAAUGAGCAUGGAAUAACUAUUUUCUCUUUAUUGUCUUAAGCUUAGAUGCAUGCGUUGAUUCAUGAAAUCAUGCUUCAAUUCACAAUAUUAUUUGAAAAUGAGAGUUCAUAGAACCUAACAAGCAGGAACAUAUAGUAUAUAUCCAGUUUAGAGCAAAGUAUACAAUGAAAAAGAGAGGGAUAAUAGGAGUUUGGCCUUGUUAAAGCAAUAAUCUGGAACCUUUCUUUAAUAAAGCAACAAUCUUAGACUUUCACAUGUAAGAGCUUUCUAAGCUAGAAGCAAUAAGUAUUAUGUAAACAGGUGGAGCUGUAUUAACUCACCAAACAUCAUCGGCGUCCCUAGUUUGACAUAUGUUGGGGGACUUCGUACUGCAGGAUUUCGCAUAAACAUUUAAACAAACUAGCACAGAGAACAUGGUUUAUUCUGUUGCAGUAAGAAUAAUUGUUUAUUCUGAAGAACAUGAUUUUGGUGGGAUAUAAACACAGAGAUUUGAAUACUUGCUGAAAACUAACUGCUAGACCCGACUUAUACAAAAUCUCCAAAGCUGCUUCAGUCAUCUCCCAAAAUGCUUUGGUAUUUUGUGUGCCUUAACUAAGUUAGAAAAUUAAUUCGAGAAACUAGGCUAGAAUAUACACUGAAGUGAAAUCAUAUACAUUGCUCACACCAUAAAGCUUAAAGGAAAAAAGAACGAUUAUAGAAUAUAAUGCCCAAAUUACAAAAAAAAAAUUUACCUGAAGUUGAUUUCUCACUCAUUACCUUUUGGGUCGAAACUUUCUCGCGAUUUAAAAUAUUUUCUACACACCAUAAUCGCUGCCUUUAAAUAUUCCUCUAUUCUUCAGAUCCUUCGAAUGAAACAAGUGGAGUUUGGAACUUUGGGGGUUUGGGAGUUUUGGGUUAGCAAUCGAGAUUUGGGGAUUUUUAGUUAACAAAUAGAUUUGAGGAUUUGGGAAUUUAGGACCAAAUGCAGAUGAGAUGAAAGUAAAUCACCAGCAAUGAGAUUUGAGGAAGUUUUCUGGUGAUUUGCGAAUAAACCAAAUGCUGGGGAUUUGGGACGGUGAUUUGCGAAUGAGGGAUUUGUGCUGGUGAUUUGAGGAAGGUUAGAAUUUAGGUUUGGAACGUUUGCUGCCAAGAAUACGAGCUUGAUGAGGAAGACGGGAGCAUUGGAAGUGUCAAAUAAAUUUUAAUAUAGUUAUUAUAUUUACCAAAAUAAAAUAAAUAAGAAUAAAAGGAAAAAGGGGUUAUAUUGGCGG